UCAAUCCAAGGCAUGCAUUUUAUAUCCUUACUGUAUAUCUUUUUCUCUGUUCUGCAAGCUUUUGACUUUUUUUAAUUUUUAUUUUUAAAAAAAAAAAGGUCAGUUUCAUGGCAUCUUCUUCAGUGCCUGCUUUUCUGGUGUCUCCUUGUGAUUUAUCUCAUUGUAUCUGUUGGGUGGGCCCCAUACCAAGAGGGAUAGCAUAGUGACUUGCCUCGUUUCUGUGGUGGUAAACUGAGCUCUGUGGCUGGAAAAUUUAGAUGCAGUGGAAUCUGUCCUCUUAGGACAUGUUUGUAGAGUUUUUUGUAGAGACAUGCUUGCUGAACUUUGAAGAAUGUCUUCCUAUCUUCAAACUUUGAACCUCUGGCUUUAUUUUGAAGUGAUUUCAAGUGUAAUAGAAAUUUGUAAAGAUUAUUUUGAUAAUGAACACUUCCACAUAUGCAUCUUUCAGAUUUAUCAACCUGCUGCAUUUUGCUUUGUCUCGUACUCUCUCUACUUCCUUCCUCUUCUCUCUUGCUCCCUCUCUCUAUAUAUGUACAUGCAUAUGUAUAUACACACAUAUGUAUAUAUGCAUUCCUUUAACCAGCUGAGCAUAUCUUGGCAAGAUCAAAGUUUCUGAGUUCUCCAGCUUGUUUCCACAGUCAUUGUGGCCCGAAGCUCUCGACAUCAGUUGUAAGCUGCUUUGGUGUCUCCAGACUUGACCUUCCUUCUGCUGUCUAACUGUCUAGACUCCUGGCUGCCCUUACACACACCCUUUGCCGUUCACACCAUGGCUUCUUUAUGUUCCUCUUAGUUUUAGUGGCUUGAGGCCUUGCCUGUUCUGAGAGCUUCCUUAAAUGUAGGAAGAGAGAGAGAAGCAAGCUGGCAGCCCCUCCCCCCACCCCCUGCCCGCCCUGGGUAGAGCACACUGACCCUUUUGUGUGGUAGCUGCUUGAAUUCCUCCCACCAAGCAUAUUCCUUCUGCUUGUGAAGUUUAAUGUGUUGUUUUGUUGGGGAUUGAGCCCAGGGACUCUUUUGUAUGCUAGGCAAGCAUUCUACAACUAAACCCCUGAGUUCUGUUCUUGACCUUUUUUAUUUAUAUUGUUUUUAAGAGUCUGUAUGUAUCUCACGCUGGCCUCAAACUUGUGACUGUUCCUGCUUGUGGGGAUUGAAUGUUGGGGUUACCUUACCAGUGUGGGCUAUCGUGCCUGACCCUAAACUUUAACUUCUUUGGUGUUUUGCCUGAAUAGAUGUUUGUGCACUCCUGCCCAAAAUGGCCGCCUUAGAAGAGCGUGUUGUUUGCUCUGGAAUUAGAGUUUAAGAUGUUGUGAGCCACCACGUGGGUUCUCGGGAUCUAGACUGAUUCCUCUACAGGAGCAGCCAGGGCUCUUAGCCACUGCGCCACCCCUCUAGCCACCGUGUGACCUUUAAGUUCUCAAGGAUCAAACUGUGAAUCUUUUAACUGAGAAACAAUUAUCAAAGGACUCAUCGGUGUGUGUUCUUUUCUCCUUUCUCUAGCUACUUUUUAAUUAACUAGAUACUUAUGAUAGGUGAUAGUUUCCUGAAAUGUAGGGGUUUUAAAUGGUCUUUAUUUAGUGUUGACUCUUACUUUGGUUAAAACAAUUGAGCUUACAUUUCUUUUAAAAAUGUGUGUGUGUAUGUGUGUAUGUGUUAUAUACACAUAAAAUUAAAGAAAAUAUCUAAAGUGUGGUGUCGGGCAUGAUGGCACAUGCCAGUAAUCCCGACAUCCAGGAGGUGGAGCAGGGGAGGGCAUUACAAGUUUGAGGUGCUCUAUUUUAAAUAACUGGUAAACUUAAAAACUUUUCUUUUGUGUGUAUGGUGUGUAUUACUGUUUUGUUCUGGGGUCUCCUCUAAAAAAACCAGGUUGGCCUUAGUAUCUUGGCGGUCCCUCUUGCAUCAGUUCAACCUUCCAGGUGCUGCGAUUCUUGGCCUGUUAUCACCUCAUCCUCAUAGGAACUUGUCUUACCCUUGUUUUAAGAUAAACUGAGGUCACCUGUCAGGGUCACACAGCUGCAGCAGAAGAAUGGCUCAGGUGGCUGUCCUCCACGUAUCUGACCAUAACCCAAAAGUUGACAAUAGAGAUAAAUACGCCCCAGUAGAGAACAUGGCUGCCGUGCACAAGGCCUUGGAUUCAAUACCUCAGCACCACAAAACAAUGUGUUUAUUUAGUAUGCGUAACCCACCCAGUGCCACAGCAGCAUAGGACACUGGAGAGAACUGUGACCCUGGAUCUUGCAGCUCACUGCUGCUGCCGCCCAGGAUACCUUCCCACAUAUCCCCAGGUUAGCCAAAGCUCAAAAUGCAAACUAGCUAAUGCCGCUUACCGGUUGGGUUAAUUAUUUGAAAAGUUAUACCUUUCCCUCCCACAAAAAUCCCAUGGUUAAUAGGCACUUGAAUAUAAAACCACCAGCCUUAAAUACCAACACAUUGAUGGCUGUCAUUCAUUAACUAAGAGGCGAAAUCCACAACUGUAUCUGUUCCACUGGAGACUUAAGAUUAAAAGAUUUCUACGGUAACACUCUUGGCUUCCAACCAGCCUUGCUCCUUAAUAAUAUCUUUAUAUUCACGGUGAAUGUAUAAUCUAUGGAGGUGUGGGUAGAGAGACUUGAGACAGGCAGCAGCAUAGUUGCUAUGCCUCUGUCUGUAUAACUGCUCUUCGAGGAGGUCUGUCAUACACAGCCAGCUGGAUUCAGCUCUUUGGUUAUUUUUCUUUAGGUAUUGGCUCAUCUCUUUCCUUCGACUACGCAUGCACUUCCAAGCUAAUUCUCCACACGCUCUGACACAGAGACCCUGACAUCCUGGGAUGUGGUUUCCUACAUUAAGCUCUGAAUUGUGUUGCCCUGCUAACUGCAGUGGCUCACAUGUGCUGUUACUAAAGGAUGAUUGGACGCGCUGAUCCUGGGCACCCGCACAGCCUGUUAGGCUGUUAAGUGGGAGGUCUUUAAAAUGCAAAUAAGAAUUCUGUGGGCUCUAAGAUGCUCCAUGGAAAAGGAGAAGAAUCUUUUUUCCCCUAAACAUGUUUAAGU
rnacentral:lncRNA from 1 species